UCAAGAUAGCAGAGUUGGCUCUUUCAACAAUGAGACCAACGUUGAGGAAGGUGGUCUUGAUCGCACUGUUGGGCCGGGACCUGCCCCGCCGAAAGCGCAGGUCUGUGUGGAUCCAGAGAUGGUUAAAGUCCCGAAAGCAGGCAGGGGAAUUCCACUGUCUAAUUCAAGAGCUUCGACUGUUUUGACAGUAAUUCCGAAAUUACUUUCGUCUGGACCGAAGCCAGUUCGAUCACCUGCUGCAGAUGGUUGGAGCCAGGAUCGCCCGGAUGGAUACCAACUACCGGGAGUCCAUCAGCCCAGUUGAACGCCUGCCGAUUUGUCUCCGAUUCUUGGCGACAGGGGACUCCUACAGGACCAUAGGAUUCAGCUUCUGAGUUGGACGGUCCACGGUGACCCUCCGAGACUCUGCCUCUGGCCAGGCACUUCAGGAUGGCACCCUGGAUAUUCCACUACCUGCAUCACUCCCUGGGGCUGAAGACCUGGGACCUGUUCCCCACGUCUUCGUCGGCGAUGAGGCCUUCCCUUUAAGACCCAACCUCAUGAGGCCCUAUGCUGGAUGUUUUUACUUUCAUCUUGUCUUAGAUCAGCAAAGGUGUAGGGAAGAAAUAAGCAGAUUAAGUCUAAAUUAAAUAUUAAUAAACAACAAACAACUGACUAUGAAAACAUUAUAAUUUAAUAAGUAUUCAUGUACAGGAAAGAACAUAUGUGUGUUGUAAAAAUGUUUUUAAAAAUAACACUAUUGAAAGAGG